rnacentral:rRNA from 1 species
UACGUAGGCAGCAAGCGUUGUUCGGAAUUAUUGGGCGUAAAGGGUGCGUAGGCGGUUUCGUAAGUUUGGUGUGAAAUCUCCCGGCUUAACUGGGAGGGUGCGCCGAAAACUGCGAGGCUUGAGUGUGGGAGAGGUAGGCGGAAUUCCUGGUGUAGCGGUGAAAUGCGUAGAUAUCAGGAGGAACACCGGUGGUGUAGACGGCUUACUGGACCAUGACUGACGCUGAUGCACGAAAGCGUGGGGAG